ACACAUGCAAGUCGAACGAGCGAGAGAGAGCUUGCUUUCUCGAGCGAGUGGCGAACGGGUGAGUAACGCGUGAGGAACCUGCCUCAAAGAGGGGGACAACAGUUGGAAACGACUGCUAAUACCGCAUAAGCCCACGGGUCGGCAUCGACCAGAGGGAAAAGGAGCAAUCCGCUUUGAGAUGGCCUCGCGUCCGAUUAGCUAGUUGGUGAGGUAAUGGCCCACCAAGGCGACGAUCGGUAGCCGGACUGAGAGGUUGAACGGCCACAUUGGGACUGAGACACGGCCCAGACUCCUACGGGAGGCAGCAGUGGGGAAUAUUGCACAAUGGGGGAAACCCUGAUGCAGCGACGCCGCGUGGAGGAAGAAGGUCUUCGGAUUGUAAACUCCUGUUGUUGGGGAAGAUAAUGACGGUACCCAACAAGGAAGUGACGGCUAACUACGUGCCAGCAGCCGCGGUAAAACGUAGGUCACAAGCGUUGUCCGGAAUUACUGGGUGUAAAGGGAGCGCAGGCGGGAAGACAAGUUGGAAGUGAAAUCUAUGGGCUCAACCCAUAAACUGCUUUCAAAACUGUUUUUCUUGAGUAGUGCAGAGGUAGGCGGAAUUCCCGGUGUAGCGGUGGAAUGCGUAGAUAUCGGGAGGAACACCAGUGGCGAAGGCGGCCUACUGGGCACCAACUGACGCUGAGGCUCGAAAGUGUGGGUAGCAAACAGGAUUAGAUACCCUGGUAGUCCACACCGUAAACGAUGAUUACUAGGUGUUGGAGGAUUGACCCCUUCAGUGCCGCAGUUAACACAAUAAGUAAUCCACCUGGGG
rnacentral:rRNA from 1 species